UACGUAGGGCGCAAGCGUUAUCCGGAAUUAUUUGGGCGUAAAGAGCUCGUAGGCGGUUUUGUCGCGUCUGCCGUGAAAGUCCGGGGCUCAACUCCGGAUCUGCGGUGGGUACGGGCAGACUAGAGUGAUGUAGGGGAGACUGGAAUUCCUGGUGUAGCGGUGAAAUGCGCAGAUAUCAGGAGGAACACCGAUGGCGAAGGCAGGUCUCUGGGCAUUAACUGACGCUGAGGAGCGAAAGCAUGGGGGAGCGAACAGG
rnacentral:rRNA from 1 species